AUGGAAGCUGAUGCUGCCGCCGCCUUGCUCGCCGGGAUACUCUCUAAGAGAGGGAUUGACGCCCCGGAAAAGCAGUUGCAUCGGUUGAUCAGGCUAGGGCAAAGAUGGGGACAUUUCCCUGAUACUCAUAUGCUAUUUUCCUUAUCGGAAUGGCGAGAUUUCAGAGACACAAUGUGGCAUAAGACCAUCGAGGGUGGCGACAAGGACAAGAAGGAGGUUAAGGCGGUGCAAGCUCUGUGGAGCACGGUCUUAGAGACCCUGGCAGCCGUGAAGGCUGAGGGAGAGGUCGCGGCUGCUGCUGCGACAAUGCUGCGCCCUACGCCACCUAGUGCCUCUUCCUGUCGUGGCGGCGGGUCUCAGUUUGCCAUCAGGGGAACCGUUUCCACGGGCAAACCGUACCGCACCGUGGCGGAGAUGCUGCAAAAACUACGGGGGGGUCCGGCCGGCUCUGCGGGAAAAGGGGAAGUUACCUCCGAGCCAGUCGGCUCGAGUACUGACGAGAACGCGGAAGUACAGCAGGAUGCCCGCCAGGAGCCGGGGGGGGGCGGGACAGCUCCUAGUGCCCCGCCUCUGCCGCCCGCAGAGGGGCCGCCUCGACCGUCGGUCCCUCCACCACCGCCCCCCCCGCAGCCCUUGCCGCCGUCCGCUCCUGAGGGAGCCGGCAGUGCGCCAUGCCCAGGGCCCUCGUCGCCGCCCGUACCGGGGGAGGGCAGCACAGCCCCGCCGAGGCUAUGGCGGGAGCCCCUGACAUCGUUAUCUCCGGAGUCGUCAGGCACAGCCUCGCCUACCACCCCCAUGGGGACAAAGCCGUUCACGGCUCAACUAUUAAAAAUGUUUGAGCAGCUGGAAAAGCUGGAACUGAGGGACGGGAGGAGGGACCUUCCCCCGUGUAUGCGGACCUCCGGUGGGUUCGUCCCGCGGGAGCCCCGGUGGAGUGGAAUCAUCAAGGACGCCAUUGUAGAGGGACAGUGGCAGCCAGCCCCCGGGGGAGGCGAGCCAUCGGCCUUGGCCUUCCCGAUCGUUUACAGAGGGGGAGAUAAAAAAUGGGAACCGCAUGAUUGGAAGAUCUUACAACAGGCCCGUACAACCGUUUCCACAUAUGGGAACGUUGCAACCCGGGAUGCCAUCACCUAG
rnacentral:lncRNA from 1 species